rnacentral:rRNA from 1 species
UACGUAGGGUGCGAGCGUUAAUCGGAAUUACUGGGCGUAAAGCGUGCGCAGGCGGUUAUUUAAGUCAGGUGUGAAAGCCCUGGGCUUAACCUAGGAAUUGCGCUUGAGACUGGAUAGCUUGGAGUGCGGCAGAGGGAGGUAGAAUUCCACGUGUAGCAGUGAAAUGCGUAGAGAUGUGGAGGAACACCGAUGGCGAAGGCAGCCUCCUGGGCCAGCACUGACGCUCAUGCACGAAAGCGUGGGGAGCAAACAGG